rnacentral:rRNA from 1 species
CUCUCGGCAAUGGAUAUCUCGGCUCUUGCAUCGAUGAAGAACGUAGUGAAAUGCGAUACUUGGUGUGAAUUGCAGAAUCUCGUGAACAUUGAGUCUUUGAACGCAAGUUGUGCCCGAGGCCUUGUGGCCGAGGGCACGCCUGCUUGGGUGUCAUGGC